rfam:Exophiala dermatitidis NIH/TT8656 mitochondrion, whole genome shotgun sequence.
GGUGAAUUAAUUUAAUGGAAAAAUUAUGUGCUACGGACACAUUAAUAUAGGUUCAAAUCCUAUAUUCACUA